rnacentral:rRNA from 1 species
UACGUAGGGUGCAGGCGUUAAUCGGAAUUACUGGGCGUAAAGCGUGCGCAGGCGGUUCGUUAAGUCAGAUGUGAAAGCCCCGGGCUCAACCUGGGAACUGCAUUUGAAACUGGCGGGCUUGAGUAUGGCAGAGGGGGGUGGAAUUCCGCGUGUAGCAGUGAAAUGCGUAGAGAUGCGGAGGAACACCGAUGGCGAAGGCAGCCUUCUGGGCCAAUACUGACGCUCAUGCACGAAAGCGUGGGGAGCAAACAGG